rnacentral:lncRNA from 1 species
CCGAGCGGCGACAGGCAGCGCCUGAGGAGCUCGCGGAGCUUUGAGUUGCCGCCCAGCGCCUCCGCGGGUCACCUGCCCGGCCCAGGCAUUUCAUCUUGAAGGGCUGGCUGCUCUCACACACUUUUAUAUCCGCUGGAGUGAUCGAGAAAUCAUGUCUGGUGGAAGAAGUGAGUUUCUGUGCCUUGGAAUGAUCUUGGGCUUUUGGAGCUCCGUGAGUUGGAUGCCUGUUGGAGGCUGCCCGCAUAAAUGUACGUGCAUUGCUUCCAACGUGGAUUGUCAUGGACUAGGACUCAAAACUGUACCGAGGGAUAUUCCCAGGAAUGCUGAGAGACUGUAAGUAGUAAACGUUAAGGGCUCCUCAAGUACUUAUAGAAACAUCUGGCAUGAAUUUCUCAACACCUGCCUAUCAGUAUGGAGUACAUAGUAACAGCAGCUUAAGUA